rnacentral:tRNA from 1 species
GCUGCCGUAGCUCAGUUGGUAGAGCACCCCCUUGGUAAGGGGGAGGUUCGUGGGUUCGAGCCCCAUCGGCAGCACCA